AUGAAUUAUGGCUUAACUUACUUUACAAACAUAAAUAUAAAUAAUAAUGAAAAUUCGAACAAAUUAGAAGAAAAAAGUUACUUUUAUAAUAAUAUAAAAAGAGAAAGUGACAUUAAUACAAAUAAUAUAUUUUUAAAUAGAAAUGAUGGUUUUAAUGUUAUUAACAAAUUUCAACAUGAUAUUUUAAAUGCUCAAUCAUUAAAAAAUGAACAAACAAAUGAACAAACAAAUGAACAAACAAAUGAACAAUCAAAUGAACAAUCAAAUGAACAAGUGCAAAAAAAUAAAAAAAUAAAUAGCAGUUUGAAUAAUAGUUUGAGUAACAGUUUAAAUUGUUCAGAAUCGUAUGAUAAUGAAACUAUGUCAAAAAAUAAUGAGUAUAGAAAUAAAAAUGACAAAAUAUAUGUCAAGGAAAUUGUUAAAAAUAAUAAAACAAGAAUAGAAAAAUUAUAUAUUAACGAUUUGAGUCAAAGUAGUGCUGUUAGUGAAAGCAGUACUGAUGCAUUUCAAAACAGUUCAAAUAAUAAUAUAGAAGAAAAUCAAAAUAUGUUCUCAUCGGUACAUAAUUUUAAGAACAAACAUUUUUCAGGUAAUUUGAAUACAUAUAAUGAUGAAGAAUUAGAACAACAACAACCUAAAAUGAUUAAUUCUGUAUUUGAUAGUUUUAGUGAAGAAUUUGAUGAACCUAUUCCUGUACCAACACCUGCUGAUUCUGUUUUAUCUGAAUCAUUAUAUUCAUCACGAAAUAAAGAAAUUAGAAAUAAACAAAAGGAAAGGGUAAGUAUAACAAAUAGUAUACGUUCGGAUGAUGAACAAAUCGUUUUUACAUCGAAGGAAAAUAUACGUGGGGGGAUAACAACAAUGGAUAUAAUCAGUAAAAACGAAUUCUUACGAGGAGAAAAUGAUAUAAACCUUACAAGUGAUAGUAAUGAUCAUAAUAAUAUGAGUAAUUUUCCUACUAAUAGUAUUAGUAGUAACAACAAUAAUAGUGGUUGUAGUGAUUCUGGUAGUGUUGUAGAUAGUAUUGCCGGUAGUAUGGUCGGUAGUAUUGCCGGUAGUAUGGUCGGUAAUAUUGCCAGUUAUAAUGUCGGACAACCUUGUGAUCCCACUAUAAGAAAUAAACAAAGAAACAGUAUCAAUGACAUGUUAAAUGAAUAUAAUUUGAAUAAUAACAAACGUGUAAGUAAUGUAGAUAUGGAUUGGAAUUAUAAAAAUAAAAAUGUUACUUUGAACAAAACAUAUAAAGAUUUAUAUAAUAAUAAUGGUGAUAAUAAUGGUGAUAAAAUUAAAAAUAUGAAUAUUACACCUGAAUUGGUAAAAAGUGAUAUAACAUUUAUGAUGGAUACUAAUAAUAAUAAUAAUAAGAAAUAUUAUGGUAGUAUAAACAAUCAGGGAACUGGUUAUAGUAUCGAUAGUAGUAGUAGUAGUGUCAACAGUUAUAACUACAACGAAACAAAUACUAAUAAGAGCAAUAACAGUAAUAACUCAUGUUAUAAUUACCAAUCCUUUGAGAACAAAAAAAAAACGACUACAAAAAAUUGUAAACACACUUGA
ensembl:lncRNA